AGGAGCAACAGCCCCAGUGGCGGGGCCAGCUCUGGAGCCCUGGAGUCAGCCCCCGCAGUAGCUCCAGAGCUCUCCGUCUGCAGGGCCUGGAGGCUCCGGGUGGGG
rfam:Canis lupus familiaris chromosome 14, whole genome shotgun sequence.